rnacentral:lncRNA from 1 species
CUCCUAGAAUAAUGUAGCAAGUGGUAGUAACCAAAAUAUCAAGAGCAUUUAUUUCACGGGGAAUAACAGGGAUAGGAUAAUGUUUUGGGCUAUUCUCUCCUAGAUAGGAGUAGAAUAAUUUUAGGUGAAUCUGGAGAUGGAAAGGAGUAGAUGUAUGUGGAUGCGUACUUCCGGAGUAGAAGCAGCAUGUAUGAGUGAACGUGCAAGUGAAUCUUGAUUUUAACCGCAUGACAAGCUCCUAAGGGUCU